UUAACACUGUACACACACACACACACCGUGUCAUGCUGUUGUAGUAAAACACCGAGUGCUGGCCUGGUGUGAUGAAGCGUAGUUACUGUUAUCACACCACAGUUUAUUACAGUGUAGUAUUAUAGAUAUAGUAUGGUGCGGUGUAGUAUUAUAGAUAUAGUAUGGUGUGGUGUAGUAUUAUAGAUAUAGUAUGGUGCGGUGUAGUAUUAUAGAUAUAGUAUGGUGCGGUGUAGUAUUAUAGAUAUAGUGUAGUAUUAUAGAUAUAGUAUGGUGCGGUGUAGUAUUAUAGAUAUAGUGUAGUAUUAUAGAUAUAGUAUAGUGAGGUGUAGUAUUAUAGAUAUAGUAUGGUGCGGUGUAGUAUUAUAGAUAUAGUGUAGUAUUAUAGAUAUAGUAUGGUGCGGUGUAGUAUUAUAGAUAUAGUAUAGUGAGGUGUAGUAUUAUAGAUAUAGUAUGGUGCGGUGUAGUAUUAUAGAUAUAGUAUGGUGCGGUGUAGUAUUACAGAUAGAGUAUAGUAUUAUAGAUAUAGUAUGGUGCGGUGUAGUAUUAUAGAUAUAGUAUGGUGCGGUGUAGUAUUAUAGAUAUAGUAUGGUGCGGUGUAGUAUUAUAGAUAUAGUGUAGUAUUAUAGAUAUAGUAUGGUGCGGUGUAGUAUUAUAGAUAUAGUAUAGUGAGGUGUAGUAUUAUAGAUAUAGUAUGGUGCGGUGUAGUAUUAUAGAUAUAGUAUGGUGCGGUGUAGUAUUACAGAUAGAGUAUAGUAUUAUAGAUAUAGUAUGGUGCGGUGUAGUAUUAUAGAUAUAGUAUGGUGCGGUGUAGUAUUAUAGAUAUAGUAUGGUGCGGUGUAGUAUUAUAGAUAUAGUAUGGUGUGGUGUAGUAUUAUAGAUAUAGUAUAGUGAGGUGUAGUAUUAUAGAUAUAGUAUGGUGCGGUGUAGUAUUAUAGAUAUAGUAUGGUGCGGUGUAGUAUUAUAGAUAGAGUAUAGUAUUAUAGAUAUAGUAUGGUGUGGUGUAGUAUUAUAGAUAUAGUAUAGUGAGGUGUAGUAUUAUAGAUAUAGUAUGGUGCGGUGUAGUAUUAUAGAUAUAGUAUGGUGUGGUAUAGUAUUAUAGAUAUAGUAUGGUGCGGUGUAGUAUUAUAGAUAUAGUAUGGUGCGGUGUAGUAUUAUAGAUAGAGUAUAGUAUUAUAGAUAUAGUAUGGUGUGGUGUAGUAUUAUAGAUAUAGUAUGGUGCAGUGUAGUAUUAUAGAUAGAGUAUAGUAUUAUAGAUAUAGUAUGGUGCGGUGUAGUAUUAUAGAUAUAGUAUGGUGCGGUGUAGUAUUAUAGAUAUAGUAUGGUGCGGUGUAGUAUUAUAGAUAUAGUAUGGUGCGGUGUAGUAUUAUAGAUAUAGUGUAGUAUUAUAGAUAUAGUAUGGUGUGGUGUAGUAUUAUAGAUAUAGUAUGGUGUGGUGUAGUAUUAUAGAUAUAGUAUGGUGUGGUGUAGUAUUAUAGAUAUAGUAUGGUGCGGUGUAGUAUUAUAGAUAUAGUAUGGUGCGGUGUAGUAUUAUAGAUAUAGUAUGGUGCGGUGUAGUAUUAUAGAUAUAGUAUGGUGCGGUGUAGUAUUAUAGAUAUAGUGUAGUAUUAUAGAUAUAGUAUAGUGAGUUGUAGUAUUAUAGAUAUAGUAUGGUGCGGUGUAGUAUUAUAGAUAUAGUGUAGUAUUAUAGAUAUAGUAUGGUGCGGUGUAGUAUUAUAGAUAUAGUAUGGUGCGGUGUAGUAUUAUAGAUAUAGUAUGGUGCGGUGUAGUAUUAUAGAUAGAGUAUAGUAUUAUAGAUAUAGUAUGGUGUGGUGUAGUAUUAUAGAUAUAGUAUGGUGCAGUGUAGUAUUAUAGAUAGAGUAUAGUAUUAUAGAUAUAGUAUGGUGCGGUGUAGUAUUAUAGAUAUAGUAUGGUGCGGUGUAGUAUUAUAGAUAUAGUAUGGUGCGGUGUAGUAUUAUAGAUAUAGUAUGGUGCGGUGUAGUAUUAUAGAUAUAGUAUGGUGCGGUGUAGUAUUAUAGAUAUAGUAUGGUGCGGUGUAGUAUUAUAGAUAUAGUAUGGUGCAGUGUAGUAUUAUAGAUAUAGUGUAGUAUUAUAGAUAUAGUAUAGUGAGGUGUAGUAUUAUAGAUAUAGUAUGGUGCAGUGUAGUAUUAUAGAUAUAGUGUAGUAUUAUAGAUAUAGUAUGGUGCGGUGUAGUAUUAUAGAUAUAGUAUGGUGCGGUGUAGUAUUAUAGAUAUAGUAUGGUGUGGUGUAGUAUUAUAGAUAUAGUAUGGUGCGGUGUAGUAUUAUAGAUAUAGUAUGGUGCGGUGUAGUAUUAUAGAUAUAGUAUGGUGCAGUGUAGUAUUAUAGAUAUAGUGUAGUAUUAUAGAUAUAGUAUAGUGAGGUGUAGUAUUAUAGAUAUAGUAUGGUGCGGUGUAGUAUUAUAGAUAUAGUGUAGUAUUAUAGAUAUAGUAUGGUGCGGUGUAGUAUUAUAGAUAUAGUAUGGUGCGGUGUAGUAUUAUAGAUAUAGUGUAGUAUUAUAGAUAUAGUAUGGUGCGGUGUAGUAUUAUAGAUAUAGUAUAGUGAGGUGUAGUAUUAGAUAUAGUAUGGUGCGGUGUAGUAUUAUAGAUAUAGUAUGGUGCGGUGUAGUAUUAUAGAUAGAGUAUAGUAUUAUAGAUAUAGUAUGGUGUGGUGUAGUAUUAUAGAUAUAGUAUGGUGCAGUGUAGUAUUAUAGAUAGAGUAUAGUAUUAUAGAUAUAGUAUGGUGCGGUGUAGUAUUAUAGAUAUAGUAUGGUGCGGUGUAGUAUUAUAGAUAUAGUAUGGUGCAGUGUAGUAUUAUAGAUAUAGUAUGGUGCGGUGUAGUAUUAUAGAUAUAGUAUGGUGCGGUGUAGUAUUAUAUAUAUAGUAUGGUGCGGUGUAGUAUUAUAGAUAUAGUAUGGUGCAGUGUAGUAUUAUAGAUAUAGUAUGGUGCGGUGUAGUAUUAUAGAUAUAGUAUGGUGCGGUGUAGUAUUAUAUAUAUAGUAUGGUGCGGUGUAGUAUUAUAUAUAUAGUAUGGUGCAGUAUAGUAUUAUAGAUAUAGUAUGGUGCGGUGUAGUAUUAUAGAUAUAGUAUGGUGCGGUGUAGUAUUAUAGAUAUAGUAUGGUGCGGUGUAGUAUUAUAGAUAUAGUAUGGUGCGGUGUAGUAUUAUAGAUAUAGUAUGGUGCGGUGUAGUAUUAUAUAUAUAGUAUGGUGCGGUGUAGUAUUAUAGAUAUAGCAUGGUGGUGUAAAGUGUUGCACAGUAGUAUAGUAACAGAGCUGCACUAUUUUAUAGCACUACUAUAACAUUAAUCAACACCUUCUGACCAAUCACAGUAGAGUUUACGCUCACUCUCGGCAGGGGAACAGAAUUAUAGGAUUAAUGAUGCGUAACGCUUCUUCAAAUCUGGAGUCAUCCAAUGUUCCGACUCAGACAGACAUCAUAUCAGGACCAGAAACGCUCCCCAAUAAUAUUGGCACCCUCAAUCAUAUGACGGAGAGAGAAAACAA